GAUCAUGGCUCAGGAUGAACGCUAGCUACAGGCUUAACACAUGCAAGUCGAGGGGAAACGACAUCGAAAGCUUGUCUUUUGAUGGGCGUCGACCGGCGCACGGGUGAGUAACGCGUAUCCAACCUGCCUACCACUUGGGGAUAACCUUGCGAAAGUAAGACUAAUACCCAAUGACAUCCCACGAAGACAUCUGAAUGGGAUUAAAGAUUUAUCGGUGUACGAUGGGGAUGCGUUCCAUUAGGUAG
rnacentral:rRNA from 1 species